rnacentral:rRNA from 1 species
GAUUAAGUUAUUAAGGGCGCACGGUGGAUGCCUUGGCACUAGAAGCCGAUGAAGGACGUUACUAACGACGAUAUGCUUUGGGGAGCUGUAAGUAAGCUUUGAUCCAGAGAUUUCCGAAUGGGGAAACCCAGCAUGAGUUAUGUCAUGUUAUCGAUAUGUGAAUACAUAGCAUAUCAGAAGGCACACCCGGAGAACUGAAACAUCUUAGUACCCGGAGGAAGAGAAAGAAAAUUCGAUUCCCUUAGUAGCGGCGAGCGAAACGGGAAGAGCCCAAACCAACAAGCUUGCUUGUUGGGGUUGUAGGACACUCUAUACGGAGUUACAAAGGACGACAUUAGACGAAUCAUCUGGAAAGAUGAAUCAAAGAAGGUAAUAAUCCUGUAGUCGAAAAUGUUGUCUCUCUUGAGUGGAUCCUGAGUACGACGGAGCACGUGAAAUUCCGUCGGAAUCUGGGAGGACCAUCUCCUAAGGCUAAAUACUCUCUAGUGACCGAUAGUGAACCAGUACCGUGAGGGAAAGGUGAAAAGCACCCCGGAAGGGGAGUGAAAUAGAACCUGAAACCGUGUGCUUACAAGUAGUCAGAGCCCGUUAAUGGGUGAUGGCGUGCCUUUUGUAGAAUGAACCGGCGAGUUACGAUUUGAUGCAAGGUUAAGCAGUAAAUGUGGAGCCGUAGCGAAAGCGAGUCUGAAUAGGGCGUUUAGUAUUUGGUCGUAGACCCGAAACCAGGUGAUCUACCCUUGGUCAGGUUGAAGUUCAGGUAACACUGAAUGGAGGACCGAACCGACUUACGUUGAAAAGUGAGCGGAUGAACUGAGGGUAGCGGAGAAAUUCCAAUCGAACCUGGAGAUAGCUGGUUCUCUCCGAAAUAGCUUUAGGGCUAGCCUCAAGUGAUGAUUAUUGGAGGUAGAGCACUGUUUGGACGAGGGGCCCCUCUCGGGUUACCGAAUUCAGACAAACUCCGAAUGCCAAUUAAUUUAACUUGGGAGUCAGAACAUGGGUGAUAAGGUCCGUGUUCGAAAGGGAAACAGCCCAGACCACCAGCUAAGGUCCCAAAAUAUAUGUUAAGUGGAAAAGGAUGUGGCGUUGCCCAGACAACUAGGAUGUUGGCUUAGAAGCAGCCAUCAUUUAAAGAGUGCGUAAUAGCUCACUAGUCGAGUGACACUGCGCCGAAAAUGUACCGGGGCUAA